UGUCUCCAACAACGCCAGCCUCUUGGCUGGCUCCAAGCUUCACAGGGCCAACCCCCUCUAGGACUGGGGCUGAUGGGCACCAGUCAGCAAGUACAAGCUGCCCAUAUUGACCACUUAGAGGCAUGCGUGUGAAACGAGAUCUGAUGACUGUAAGCUUUGCCUUCCAGACAAGAAGUGAAUUUAGGACCCGCUGAAGCAAAAGCAUCCAAAGUGAGAUUGUGCACGUGAAGGUAGAUCAGCCUUCUUUGUUCGGUGGGUUAUAAAAUGAUUGUAAUGAUUAAAAUCCAUCAUCUUGCUAGCCCAUUCUGGCAAAGGCUGGCGAUCCUUACAGGCCCACUAUUGAUCCUCAGGCAGACAGCUGAAGGGAAGCGGCAUUCAUCACAGGGCGCAAAGAGCACAUUUUCACUUUUAUUGUAUUAGCUUAAUUCUCUUUCAGAUGGAAUUAAAGACUGAUUUUGCUAGACCAAAGGGUGAGCUGCACAUCUCCUGCUGCCCCCAUCUGUCUAGUGUGCGGAUUCUUAGAAGGCAGGAUUCAUUUUUAGAGGCAAGAAAGUAGAAAUCCGUUAUAAAAACACAGAACAUUCCUUCAUGAUCUGCCAAGCUAGUCUCACUUCUUUCGUCUCCCACUGCACUGUGCUCCCCACUCCUCUCCCUCCACCCCCACUCCCCACAUGGGCACACUUGCUCUCUUGCAGAUUCACACAUGUAACACACACACACACACACACACACACACACACACACAGAGUUCUUUAAAUGGUAUGUACCAUUCUACGAGGCCUACCAAACAUCAGACACUCUUUAUCAGCAGUUGUGCUGGGGUCUCCAUGGCAACAGUAUAAUAGAUUUGCCCUUAUUCAAUCCCAGAGGCCACAUUGAAGCGCAAUGCAAAAUUUGCUGGGGCCUGAAUUCCUUUCAAGCCAUGGCUCAUGUGUCAGGAAACAAGUCAAUGCACAGGCAAUCCUGCACAUAAAGAUGGAAAGGAACCUUCUCUCUCCACUGCCGUCCGCUCACAGUGACAUUCAGAAGCCCAGAGACUUCUAGAUCUCGUUUCUGUCUCGUUUUCUAGUUAUUAAUUCACUCCUUUGGGUGGAGGGGGGGGGGAGGGGAGCACCAUGCUUCGCAAUAAUCAACCACCAACAAAAGUGCAAGCUAGCUGCAUGAAAACGAAGCAUGCAUCUUAGCCUCCAAGGUUACAUAGGAUCCAGUAUGGCUGAAGCCCGUCCACAACUGCAAAUGGACUUCCAAGGUGUGACGUACCUCCUCCAUGAGCCAGACAGAGCAGCUCGGGCCACCUCGCCACGCAAACUGGAGUGGUGUUCUUUGAUAGUCUAAGCAAUCUCCCCCCAGAGAAAGGAACACCGAAGAAUGGACGUGUGCUCUCUCAUCCUAGAUCCAGGCUCACCAGCACACAGACCUGUAUUUCUCCCAGCCCCUGGAUUAAGACAGGAUGGGAGCUGUGGAAAAGAAAAGGGAAAAAAGCACCAAGAAAUCCAAAUAUUUCCUCAGGAAUAGGUGUCGAUCAGUCGUCUUUGGAUGGAUAUGUGAAUGAGUAAGGAUGUCACAGUACCAAAGCUGCCAAGCUCCAGAGACCAACUGACUCCUGCUGCGUGAGAACAGGUACUUUUGUUCUGAAGAGAAAACUUAUUGAAUUUAGUCUUGGAGCAUCAUGUGCAAAUGUGGCAUGGGUUGUCCAAAAGGCCUACAAUGGAUAGUACAAGCCCUCCUCCAUGCUAGACCAAGAAGACUGUUUUCUCACAAAGAGAAAAGCAAGCUUUCCUGGACUCUAAGCCCAUGCAUACACACCAUGUUUCCUCACUCUUGGUCAGUUUGUUCCAAGUUUCAGGCACUUUGCUAAGAAUUCAAGGUCAGCUUGAGCUGAGCAUCCUUCUCGUCCUCAUGAAGUGCAAUUCCAAUCCUGGUGUGAGUCAGGGGACAGCCCCAGUUGCAGAUGACUUUCUGCAAGCUCUGUGGAGACACAGAGAGGGGGAGCCUGACUCUAAAUUAUAGCUCGUCAUCUUUCUCCCUCUCACCUGAACCAAAGGAGCCUUGUGUUACUACAUAGGAUCUGCUUUUUAAAUAUAUUUUAAGAUUAAAGUCAACAUGGAAAUGGAGAGGGUGGGAUGCUCACAUUGAACGGUCAUUGUGUAGCAGGCUGGUUAUCUCGCUGGCUGUGUUAUACAAUGAAAGAGGAUCAGAUAAACACAGGCACAACCUCUGCCUCCAUUGAUAAUGUAAAUCAUCCCUUGUUUCAUUUGUCCUCCCUUCAGACCGGAUACAAAAGGCAUAGAAAUGAACAAUCCAUGCCUAAACACAGAAGAGCUUGAAAGCUGAUAAAUGUCAGAUGUUUGUUCUGGGUCAUCAUUAAGGUCUUGAGUGGAUUUGCUUAUAAACAGCAGCUAUUCUCUCGGUGGGAACAUGAGAGAUGGGGAGGGGGGGUUACCAUGUGGAGACAGCUCUUUUAAAGACACAUUGCAACUUUUCUGCCAUGCAUGGUAAGCUAUAUAGAUAAUUCUUCUUGCAGGCUAUGCACUGUUGUCUCCCGAGCAGCCCAAAAUGUAAUGUGCUAGAGAAAAAAUGAGGUGGUUUUUUUUUUCCUCUCUCUCUCUCUCUUCAUUUUAUGGAAAUGCCAUUUUUCAUUAUCCGCUGAAGGUGAGCCUGCUGGAAAUUGAGAUGAGAGUAGAGUUGCCCCUCCUACAGAUGGCCAGGCAUGUCCUGACAAACAUGCUGCAAAGACCUCCAUGGGAGCCUAGGGAGACCUCCGCCAGCAGGUUCCCCACAAUGAAGCUGGCAGCGCCAAGCCUUUGAAAGAUGUGGAUCCUUGCGGCCCAUCCAUUUCCGCUACCCUCUGUUCUCUGCUGAGGGUUUUGUGGGAUGCUGUUGUUUCUCCUCUCCAGUCCAACCAAGGCCCGGCUAAAGAAAAAGUGCCAAGACAAACAGAAAGGGAGCCGUGGGGACCCGGUGUUGGGUACAGAGCGUGAGGGUGGUAAUCAUUCUUCUGAUUUGUGCUCCGAUUUGUUUUCUGUUUGCUUUCGCACAGAACGCACACUCUCCCCCUGGAUCUCAAAUAAUCUGAACCAAGUAUCUGUCUCUGAAGUCAAUCACAGAAGAGGAUAGAAACUUCGUGUUAUCUGUGGGAUGAUUGCUUCAGCUGUUCAUCCUCAUCCCAUCCAGAAGACGGGUGGAAAAGCCCAACUGGGAAACAGAGCCGAACAUCCUCCAUAGCAGAGGCAAGGCCCUCCUCUGGCGGUGCCCCUGCCAUGACAGUCAAGCAAAGGAAUCCUACUAUCGGGAUCCAGGUCCCAGGUUAAUGUCAAGAGCUGGUUUCUGUUUAGUUACUCAAGGAUCAAAGGGAAAUUAUUCAAUAAAAAGGAACGUAAAGAGGGACCCCUGUGCCCACCUAAACCUUAAUAAAAGACACUUGUUCCAAUGCAUCUUCCUUAACUUGCCUUUUCAUGCAGCCCUUUCUGCUUCUUGCAUACACGUUUGUUGUUGAAAUAAGGAUGUUUUCCUAUCUCAACUCCCCACUCCCUCCCCUUGCAGCUGACCAGGGUGUCACAAGAAUGGUGUGACAGCUUGUUGCUAAGGAACUGAAGACAGGGUCACCACUCUCACAUACAUAUACACACACACACACACACUCACACACACACACACACACACACACACACACACACACACACCCAUGAGGAAUAUGAAAUCCUUAUCAACAGAUUGAAUAGGGAGUGUGUAUGAGUGUGUUGUUGUGUGUGCACAUGCACACAUGUAUGCUAUAGUUUCUGUCUGAAGUGUAAAUUACAGGUCGCCACUUCUACAGCAGCUGCUCCAGAGAAGCCUUCAGCUUCCUCACCCACCAGCCACGCCUGUAUUUGAACUUUUCACUUCAGUGUGAGUGCCUUCACACUGUCCUGUCCGUGAUUUACCGCAGAUGUAUCACACUCUGACCUUAGUCACAGCCUCCCUUUAAGAGUCAAGUACAAACUUUGCAAAGUCUCUAAUAUGCGAGGUGUUCAGCAGACAAGACUAGGACAUGAAAUUCCUCCCACUUGGAGCACA